GUGCUCACUUUGGCAGCACAUAUACUAAAACUGUAACAAUACAGAGAAGAUUAGCAUGGUCCCUGCACAAGGAUGAUAUGCAAAUUCACAAAGUGUUCCAUAUUCUA